AAGUCAGAAUGAAGUCCGGGUAUAAGCGCCAUAAAACCAUAACAUAUGAGUUAAGUGCCAAGAAAAUCUACUAGAUCUUAUGCUGUAUCCGGAGUCGGAAUAGGGAAAAAGAUCUUCUACGGGAUCUGGUGAGGCAUAAGCGAUAUAUUGAGUUGGAGCUGUAUCUUAACAGUCGGAUAAGAAACCCUAUCUUAUUAAGCGGGAAGUGGUUCUUAACGUGUAGUUCGGGCUAGAGAGGUUCGGGAGAUAGUCAAGUUCAGAUAAAUAUUCCAUGACUGUUUCCCUUGGCGCAAGAAUACUAAGUGGAUGUCUAGCUAAAUUAGAACCAGAUUCCAGUACAGUAUAGUUUUGUCAACAAGAUCAGAAGCGUUAGAUCAUCGGCAUAAGAAGGAGGUGAUUCUGUUCGAGUAUAAAGAAGAAGUUUCCAGAGAAUUGUAGGUUAAAGCAGUCAACGAAGCGGGAAGGAAAGGUUCGGUGGGGCGCUAAGCAACCAGAUGUUGUGCUAAGUAGAGUUGCGCUUCAGGUUCAGUUCAUUCUUUGACUUGUGCUAAUGUAAAGGGAGUUUUCGAGUUCAAGUUCCGUGAGCAGUCUUGCACUACCGGGAGUUGUGGACCUGACCGCUAAAGAUUCUAUUUCUGCAGAUUGCCCUAGCGAGAAGGGAGUUGUGGAAAAUCAUGAUUAGUAUACCGGGUGAGAAAGACAGACUAGUUAAGUUAGCCCUUCCACCUUUGCAAGAUUGAGCCCAAAGUACACCUAUAGACCAAAGUCAACCUAUGGAUAUAAUAUGAUUUGAAGAGAGAGGAAUUGACACUGACACUACAAUACAAGGGUGAAGAGAGAGGAAUUGACACUGACACUACAAUACAAGGGUGGAUGAGAUAUCCUACCUACCGAUAAGCAUUCCAUCUACAUUCAAACUAAAGCGCUUAUGUCUGCCCAGAGGAAAUCCAAAAAGAAGGAAAUGAGGGAGAUCUCUUUGAAGUGAAGAAGAACUCCUCUUACACCCUAUGAAAGGUUGUUUCACUUAGCUUACCUCGAAAGAAAGAAAGAGGGACUGGGGGUGCUCGUCCUCCUAUAAGGAGCGCGCCUCUACUUCCGCUAGUAGAAAAACACGGCAUGGCGUGCGAUUUACUUAGUGUUCCGUUUCAUAGGGAUAGAGCCCCUAAUCUAUACUUUAUUCUAAUUGGAACUCCCUAGAUUCUCUAUUCUUGCUUCCCCAUUUGACUAUAAAGAGACUACUCGGAUAGAUAGUUAGCUCUUGCUUCUCCUUUCUUUUGUCUAGGAUGAUAAAGACUAAGAAAAUCCUGGGUAGCCGGCAAAUAACAUAGUAUAGUUUGGAUUUCGGGUGGCUGCCUAUCCAAUAUUCUUUCGCUCUCUCUAUUUUUGUAUAAGAUAUAAGAUGCUUGACAGAGUGGGGGCGUGGAAUCCAAAUUGAGUAAGAGACCAAGAUCACACUGUACAUUUUCUUUGACAAAGACUAGACCCAUGAAAGCGCAUAGGAAUAGAGCCUCCUCUGCACCUUUUGAUGAUUCAUCAUAAGAAUCAGAAGAUUGACAAGGGAAUAAGACUGCUGGCCUCAAACAUACUACGAGUUGAGAAUGCUGGAAGAAGUUGCUACCGCCAUGAACACAGGACUUGGUUAAGUCCCCUCUCUCUCCUCUAAAGAAUAUCCGCUCAAUUACUGCCCUAUCUCUCUCACUUCGAUCUCCCUUUGGUCACCAACCUUUCAAAAGUAAGCUCCUUCACGACGUCCCUCCCGAAACCAGUAGUACUACUUUAUAGGAUCGAGGGGCUGGGCUCCCCAAAAGAGAAUCGCAAUAAGUCUUACAAAAGUUCGCGUGAAGUGCAAUGCAAAUCUACUUAAUAAAGAAAUAGAGAACUCAGAUGAAAGUAAUAAAGAAAUAGAGAACUCAGAUGAAAGUGGCUCUCAUUACCAUAGAAAGAUAAUACUAUAUAAUAUAUGCUGUAAUACUAUAUAAUAUAUGCUGCCAGUAGUUCACUGAACGGACAAGUAUACUAGUUGUAAGGCUCCACAUGCAGAAAAUCCCCUAAAAGUAAAGCAACACAAACCAAAGGCUGUUUACUUGGCAAGUUUCUUCUUACAGUGAAUGUUUCUUCUUACAGUGAAUAGUUAACUACUCUCUGGUUUUAUGUAUGUGAUCAGGAAUUGUUGCUUCCAGACUCAGGGUGGAAUAGACCCCAUUGCCGACUUGACCAAGAUGCGAAGGGGUGCUCUUAAAUCCGAACAUUCUCUUGUUUCCUUUUUAUUAGAGUAAUGCCCUCCUUAGACAGACCUGUAAUUCCAUCAAAGCACCCGAACACAGUUAAGCUCCAACAGAUGGGGUACUACUGGCCUACAAUACAAUGGUAAAGAAUUGGUUAGACUAUGUUAAACGCUGCAACAUUUGUCAAAUCAAAGCAAAGGAGACUAUAUGCCGAACACCUUGCGUCCUACCGUAGCAUCCUGGCCUAUCCUUCUGAUGCGCUAGUACUAAACUGACCUGCCGAGCGUACGAAAAGGAGUCUAUUUUCCCUAUCUAAAUCAACAUAGCCUUCAAGUUGUUUGCCUACCCGCCGUUGGUGAUAGGAAAUCCCAAGUCUGAAGGGGCGAACCUUUGAAAACAGCUAAAGUCAAAAGAGCAAGUCCUUUUCAACUACUCUACUAAAGUCAAGAAUUCGCUGUGCUUGUCAAGUCAAUUCCUUUAUGUCUACGAGUGGAAUGAUUCUUCGGGAAAUUGAGUUCCAAUUGAGGGUCUUCCAUUCAUUAUAUUCCAGGUUCCAUUAUUUCUGCUCAGGUUCCAUUAUUUCCGCUCAGAUCUGACAUUAAUAAGGCUCCAGCUGCUAGACUCACUCCAGAGGCUCUAGUCUAGUAGUAGUAGAAUAGAAGGAAGCUAUUGCUCCCAGAGCGAGUAAUAAUUCUCACUUUCCGCCACAAUCCUUGCUAUCAAAAGAAAGGCGUGCACGCUUACUAAGCCAAGGCUAAAACACACCUAUUGUAUUAUCAAGGCUAAAACGAACCUAUUGUAUUAUUGUAUUGCUUGCUGCUUCAUGUAUAUUCGUCUAAAAUCCUCUGACCAAAAAGGAGGCGCAGAUUCUUACAAUUCUCUCAAGCUUUCUGGGCUAGACUCAAACACAGAGAGAGAGAGAGAGUUUCUUAUUAUGGCCUAGACUUAAAAGACAGAGAUUGGAUUAUGAGAGCGACAACGAAUAUAAGGGACCUGACUCUACCCUUUAAGAGCAUAGAAGCACCACUAACACAUAUUUAUGAGACCCCUUUGCCUUUCUUCUCGUGAUACGAGCUUCUUCCCUUGCCUUUCCUCUCGCUUAAAAUCCCGUGCUCUCUCUGUACGCGACGCUUUCGGCGGUGAAAGAUUGGCCAAUCCAUCUAGUUUUUGUGCAUUGAAUAGAACAUUGGUACCUGACUCUAAGGAGAAGAAGCCCUAUCGCGGAAAAGAAGAACACGCGCUGCAAAGAGAAACUGCCAGCGACUUAGAAACUGCCAGCUACUUAUACUAAAGCGCGGGCUCAGACACGGCCGGCCUGUUUAUUGCUCGGCCAAUGAAUGAAUAUAGCUUGCAUUGAAUAAGAGAAAGG
rnacentral:lncRNA from 1 species